GUAACAAGGUUUCCGUAGGUGAACCUGCGGAAGGAUCAUUAUUGAAUUUUGAAAAGAGGUUGUAGCUGAUCGUAGUAGAUAUGUGCACACCUUGUUUCCAAAUAUUACACCAUGUGCACUUUUUGUAGGCCAAGAAAUUGGUCUAUGUUUUUAAUACUAUACCCCAAGAGUUUAGAAUGUUAUUAUCAAUAAGCUUUGCUUAAAAUUAAUACAACUUUCAACAACGGAUCUCUUGGCUCUCGCAUCGAUGAAGAACGCAGCGAAAUGCGAUAAGUAAUGUGAAUUGCAGAAUUCAGUGAAUCAUCGAAUCUUUGAACGCACCUUGCGCUCCUUGGUAUUCCGAGGAGCAUGCCUGUUUGAGUGUCAUUAAAUUAUCAAUCCUUUAAGAAGGCUUUGGACUUUGGAGUUGCUGGCUUGAAAAAAAUUAGCUUCUCUUAAAUGUAUUAGCUUGUAUCCUUUGCUGAUAAGCUUUAGUUUGAUAGAUAUCUACUAUAGCUAUGAAGCAAAUGUCAGCUUCUAAUUUAUGUGUACAAGUACACUUUUGACCUUUUGACCUCAAAUCAGGUAG
rnacentral:rRNA from 1 species